rnacentral:rRNA from 1 species
GGUAUCCGCACGAGCGCACCCUUGCCCUUAGUUGCCAGCAGGUAAUGCUGGGCACUCUAGGGGUACUGCCGGUGAUAAAUCGGAGGAAGGCGGGGAUGAGGUCAAGUCAUCAUGGCCCUUACGUCCAGGGCUACACACGUGCUACAAUGGCCGGUAUAAAGGGUUACAAUACCGCGAGGUGGAGUCAAUCCCAAAAAGCCGGUCUCAGUUCGGAUUGCAGUCUGAAACUCGACUGCAUGAAGUUGGAAUCGCUAGUAAUCGCGGAUCAGCACGCCGCGGUGAAUAUGUUCCCAGGCCUUGUACACACCGCCCGUCAAGUGAUGGAAGCUGGAAGUGCCCGAAGUCGUUACUCUAACCCUUGGGAGGAGUGCGCCGAAGGUAAAGCUAGUGACUGGCACUAAGUCGUAACAAGGUAGCCGUACCGGAAGGUGCGGCUGGAUCACCUCCUUU